AGAGUUUGAUCCUGGCUCAGAUUGAACGCUGGCGGUAUGCUUAACACAUGCAAGUCGAACGGAAACGAUGGUAGCUUGCUACCAGGCGUCGAGUGGCGGACGGGUGAGUAACGCGUAGGAAUCUGCCUGAUAGUGGGGGAUAGCCCAGAGAAAUCUGGAUUAAUACCGCAUAAUCUCUAUGGAGUAAAGGAGCCCUCUUCUUGAAAGGUUUCGCUAUCAGAUGAGCCUGCGUAAGAUUAGCUUGUUGGUGAGGUAAAAGCUCACCAAGGCGACGAUCUUUAGCUGGUCUGGGAGGAUGAUCAGCCACACUGGAACUGAGACACGGUCCAGACUCCUACGGGAGGCAGCAGUGGGGAAUAUUGGACAAUGGGCGCAAGCCUGAUCCAGCAAUACCGCGUGUGUGAAGAAGGCCUGAGGGUUGUAAAGCACUUUCAAUUGUGAAGAAAAGCUAAUGGCUAAUACCCAUUAGCCUUGACGUUAACUUUAGAAGAAGCACCGGCUAACUCCGUGCCAGCAGCCGCGGUAAUACGGAGGGUGCAAGCGUUAAUCGGAAUUACUGGGCGUAAAGCGUGCGUAGGUGGUUUGUUAAGUUAGAUGUGAAAGCCCUGGGCUCAACCUAGGAACUGCAUUUAAAACUGGCAAACUAGAGUAUAGGAGAGGAAAGUGGAAUUUCAGGUGUAGCGGUGAAAUGCGUAGAUAUCUGAAGGAACAUCAAUGGCGAAGGCAGCUUUCUGGACUAAUACUGACACUGAGGUACGAAAGCGUGGGUAGCAAACAGGAUUAGAUACCCUGGUAGUCCACGCCGUAAACGAUGACAA
rnacentral:rRNA from 1 species